AGUGGAGGUAAGAGUGUUUUCCUGGAGAUCCCUGUCUACUUCAUGCUUUCUGAGGUAUGGUACAUCUCUAAAAUACCCUCACCUUCUGACAGUUUGGAUGUGGCUAUUAUGAAUUAUCAUGCAUCUAGACUCCUCAUGUCAGAGAGCUCGAAGGCCACGAAGCUUCUUACAAAGUUGAAGUUUGUACCAAAAUGCAUGGAAAACAACAGAAGCAAAAUUCUGAAUAGCUUAUCAAAAGGACUUCAAUUACACAAAUUAUGCAUCACAAUAUUAAAUAUUCAGGACUGACAUAUGUAUUCAAACUGUGCAAAAUAUGGUAAGGAUCUUUAAAAUGAAUCAUGACAGUCAUUAUAAUUUUGGGCUGUGCUGAGAAGACAAAUGUCUUCAACGAUGACAGUGCAGUAGAC
ensembl:lncRNA